rnacentral:lncRNA from 1 species
CUUUGUUGCAGCCAUCUCAAAGUGCUGGAUGGGGAAGACGAAUACUACAAGUCUCUGUCCCCAGUGGCUGGUAUCCCUGAGAAUAUCGCAGCCCACCUUUUCUUUUUUUCUUCAUCCUCAAAGGGAAAUUCUUUUGCUCAACACUGAGUUGCACUUCCUGGCCCCAAAUCUGCCCAAGGUAAAAAGAGUCGAUAAUUUAUUGUUACUGAACAUGAAGGCUUCUUUGGAUGCACGGUCUGUGCUGAGCCUCGCUGAACCAUUCACAUUCCUAAAUAUCUUCUUCUGUCUUUAUUGUUCUCUCACAUCUGUUGUGCAGCCUGAGCUGGGCAGUCCCUCCUUUUCUCAUCCCAUGGGUCCCUGUGGGAUGCUGUGAACUCUUGCACCACAGUAAUGACAGUUCAUGUCCCCAGCAUCUAAGAAGGUAGCAAAGUCUUAAAGUAGGCCGAUCAUGCAGAUAAGCUGUCUUUGAUUUCCCACCAAGUCACCUUUCAAUCCAUGUAGAAUCCGCCCCUGUAGAGGUCUAGGAGUCCCCUUCCUGCUCCUGUCUCUACCCGCCUCCCCCACAGGGCUUUUCCACUCCUCCUGCCUCCCCUGGGGUCAGGGCUCCACUUCUGAGGGCCCCACAUCCUGGAGGAGUUCCCUGAGGUCUCCUAGCACAGAAUAAUUUUCUGUGUUUCAGCACAAAGGCCUAAAUCAGAUUCUUUCUACAAGGUAAAUGAACACCUCUCUUGCUAAUUGUUAUGCUGAAAAGCCUUCACUCUCAAUGAAGGCUUCAAUGCCAAGACACCUCCAUCACUCAAAUAGUGAAAAGGAAAGAAAACUUAGACCUGUCCAAGUCUGGGGCACAUCAUUUUGUAACUCCACUCACUGGUCAGCUGUCUCCACUUGGCUGGAGUGGCUGCGGGGGGAGGGAUCUUGUCCAUCUUUGUGGGCAUAGGAACCCAGCACAGUGUCUGGAAGAAUAGACACCAGUGCAUACAGAAUAGAUGGAGAGACUUCAUUUGGUCACACAAACAUAUCUGACAGAACAGUUACUUUCAAUUAUAUGGUAUAUGUGAUUGAUCAGUCUUACAUCAUAAGCUGUUCUUUUCACUCAAGGUUGAGCUAGUCCUAUUAUAAUGAUAUCAUAUGAUAUAUUCUAAUACUUAAUAUGAUUCAGUAUGACAUGCUUUUUUGACCUCCUCUAUGUGAAAUAAUAUAUAAGAUUGCUGUGUGAUUUUAAAAAAAAACAAAAACAAAAACGAAAAAAACCUAUAGGAUCCUUUCUCAGAAUAGAGGUUCUUAGCUCUAAAAUACUUAGCAGAUAGUAUGCAUUGGGGUAUCUAGAUUUUGAGGGGAAAAAAAGAAACCCUGAAAUAUAUAGAAAAAUUAUUAUCAGAGUUUUUAAAGAGAGGGUAUUAAUAAACAUUUUAUGAAGAGAAAUAGUGAAAUGCCUUUUAAAGAUCUCAGAAAUUAUAGUUUUAAAAGGAAAAGAAGUUAUAGUCAAUUUUUCUUUUUUUUUUUAAAGAGAGAGUGAGAGAGGAGAGAAAGAGAGAAAAAAAAUUUUAAUAUUUAUUUUUUAGUUAUCGGCGGAUACAACAUCUUUGUUUUGUAUGUGGUGCUGAGGAUCAAACCCAGGCCGCACGCAUGCCAGGUGAGCGCGCUACCACUUGAGCCACAUCCCCAGCCCUAUAGUCAAUUUUUCAAUAGCUAAAUUUUACAUUUAAAAGAUGAAUCUUGGAUUUUUUUUCAGCUCUUCACUCAAAAGGCAAUGUUUAUAAGAAACAAAACUACCUUUAUUUCAUUGUUUAAGAAAUAAUGCCUCAGGCAGGGUAAUAAAUGAAUGCUUUUAGAAAUUUCACUUUUAGCAUUGAUUAGUCUAUUUGUGGGGGGCACUGGGGAUUGAACUCAGGGCUCUUAACCACUGAGCCACAGCCCCAGGCUCCUCCCCUGCCCCUUCAUUUUUUUGUAUUUUAUUUAGAGAUAGGGUCUCACCAAGUUGCUUAGGGCCUCACUAAAUUGGUGAGGCUGACUUUGAACUUGCAAUCCUCCUGCCUCAGCCUCCCAAGCCACUGGGAUUAAGUGUGUACCACCAUACCUGGUGACUGAUUAGUCUACUUUCAAUUUGAUAAAAUUAGUUGUUUUUCAGAUGUUCAUAACUUUCCACUUGUCCGUGUACAAUGUAACUGUAAACCUGCUUGUUUCUAAUUAAAAUGUCUCUAUAGGGCUGGGGAUGUGGCUCAAGCGGUAGCGCGCUUGCCUGGCAUGCGUGCAGCCCAGGUUCAAUCCUCAGCACCACAUACGAAGAUGUUGUGUCCGCUGAUAACUAAAAAAUAAAAUAUUAAAAUUCUCUCUCUCUCUUAAAAAAAAGUAAGGUUUUAAAAAAAAUUAAAUAAAUAAAAUGUCUCUAUAAAUAAAGUUAAGAAGAAAGUAAUUAUAAGAAAAGAAAGUAAUUGUAAAAUCAUAAUUGAGAAGCUCUGUAAUAAUUAAGCAGUGAUACAGCUAUAAUUCCUGUGAGUAAUUUGGAAACAGUGGUCACUAUCGGCUGCAGCACAGAUAAGACAAGACUGUAGACAUUAUUCUUGGGUUAUUCAUAAUGCCACAAACUCAAAAAGCAAUUCCUUAUUCAAGUAGAUGAGAAUAAUACAUCCUGGAAGCUCAUAACUGUCUUACUAGAUUUAUCAAAGUAAUACACACAAAAAGCAAAGGAAAUAGUGGAAAGCAGUCUUCUCCACAUUCCUCACCAGAAGCCACCAUUUUAAAAAUCAUUUCUAAUUCUAAUUUUUCUAAUGGUUUCCACCAUAUCUCUAAAUGCAGUUAUGUGCCAUGUAAUGACAUUUUGGUCAACAAUGAACUGUGCACACCCCUGUGGAACAAUAGGCUAUACCAUAGCGCCUGGGUGUGCAGUAGGCUAGACCAUCUAGGUUUGUAUAAACACACUCAAUGACAUUCACACAACAAAAUCAACUUAUGACACAUUUCUAAGAAUAUAUCCCAUUGUUAAAUGACAUGCAACUGUAAUUUGCUUCUACUUGCUUGUUUCAUCAUUUAAAUAACAUUAAUUCUCCCUCUAUGAAUAAUAUAGAUUUUUAUUUCAGCUCCCCACCUUAUUUCCCCCAGUAUUAAUAAUUUUAAAUUGUUUUUGACUUUGACCUUGUAAACUUUAACUAUAUAAUUAAAAUUUACUUUUCUGAACUGUCAACUUUCAAUGGUAUCUCUGUGAGGAUACCAAACAUGAAGAAAGUCAGCAGGCUGCAAGACCACGUCAGGUCACAAAAAUAAUUCUGGACAUAGAACAUUUUUUAAAAGCUUCACUACAGACCCUUUGCUGCUCAGUUCUGAGCCACUCUUUUGUCCGUUUGGCUCAUCUGUAGAUACACUUCCAUCCAAGUUUCUUUUAAAAUAUAAUAAAUAUACCAAAAAAAGGGUGGGGGGCACAAAUCCUAAGAUUUGGCUCCAUGAAUUAUUACAGAGUGAGCAUCUGUGUAACAGCCCCUCCAGUCUAGAAUAGACCACUCUGAGCACGCUAGAAGUCUCCCUGCUGAUUUUUCCCAAACAUUAUUCCCACACCUCCCUCAAGGCAACCAUUCUCCUGGCUUUAAGUGUAAACACUUCCUUGAUUUUCACAUGUACAUGCUGCUCUAAACACUAUUUAGGUUUUGCCUCUUAUGUUAGGUUUUCUGGACUUUAGACAAAUGAAAUCAUGCAGUGAGAGAUUUUGUUAGUUCUUCUUUCUUUCAUUCCACGUACUAUUGGUGAAGUUCAUCUAUGUUGUGAAAUGUAAACGUAUGGACUCACUCAUUUUCUUGACUAUGUAGUGUUCUAGGCUAUGAAUAUGAAAAUUGAUUUAGCUAUUCUGCUUUUUUAAAUAAUUUUACCUCUUUUUCUUUGGUUUUUAAUGCAGAUCUCUGCAGUACAGCAUAAUUUUUCUUUUUCUUUAUUUUUAUUUUGUUCUCUUUUUAAUUAGCUAUUCUGCUUUUAAUAAGGAAUUGGAUCCAAUUUGGGGCUAUUUUGGAAAUUACUUCCAUAAGCAUUAUGUUUGUCUCUUAGUAUUGGCAUGGUUUUCUGUUGGCUAUAUACGUGGAAUUAGAAUUGCAGAAUAUAAGGUAUAUGUUUCCCUACUUCAGUAGAUAAUGUCAAACUGUGUUCCAAAGUAACCCCACCAAUGUAUAAUCCCACCAGUUCUGUAAGAGUCCAAUCACUGAUCCACAUUCUCCCCAAUUCUUGCUAUGACAAGUCCUUUUUAUCAAAGCACUCCGAUGAGUAUUUAGUCAAAUCUCACUGAUUCUAAAUUACAUAUCCCUCAUUAAGGGUGAUAUUGAGGGCAUUUCAUGGCCAGUUCAGAUUACUUCUUUUGUCACAUGUCUAUUUUUAAUUGGAUUGACAAUUUUUUUCUUUUAAUUAGAAGCAAGUAUUUUAUAUUCUCAGUUAUGCAUAUUGAAAAUAUUGUCUCUAUUAGAUAGACUGCCCUUUCAGUUUCUAUAAAAGUGUCUUGAUUUAAAAAAAAAGUGUGUGUGAUUUUAAAAUAAUGUAAUUUAUCAAUCAUCUCCUUUUUGAUUAGUGCUUUUUUUUAUGGCUAGUUAAGAAAUCUUACUCUACCCCAACAUCACAAAGAUAUUUUCCAUUUCCAGAAGAUCCUAAAGGAAAAUAUCUUUGGGAUCUUCAACUUACCCAGACUGGUUUUGUGAAUGGUGUGCAGUAAGGGUCAAUUUUCAUAUUUUUUUAUAUUCAACUAUUCAGCCCCAUUUAAUGAGAUUAAUGUGAUUCUAUUCUACUGUUCUAAAAUUCCAUCAUUAUAUAAAUCAAGUGUUCAUUCUCAAUUCUCUAUUUAAUUCUGUUCUCAAUUCUCCAUUUUAUUCCACUGAUUUCUUUUUUUAUCCUUGACUUAAUUGCUAUGCCCUUGUAAUAUAAGCCUCAGAAUAUGGCACAGCAAGUGCCCCAUCAUUUUUGUUUUUGUUUUCUUCUCUAAGAAAGAGAUUUUAAAUAUUAUAGAAUCAAAUAAUGAAAAAAAAAAGCUGUUGGAAUUUCUUUGGUAUUAUCUUUCCAGUAAUGCCUGGAAAGUCCAUGAAUGUGGUAUAUCCUUCCAUUUGUUUACUCCUUCUCUUCUCCCAAAAAUGAUUUAUAAAUUGAAGAGAUUCUGUUAGUUUCAUUCCAUGUACCACAUGUAACUUGAUGUUAUUUAAAAUGCUUUUUAAAGACUUUUAUUUUCUCUUUUUUGCUGUUAAUAUGGAAAUGCAAUUGAUAUUUUCCAUUUGAGAUCCAGCAAUUUUGCUAAAUUAAUUAAUUAAUUAAUUCAAAUAAUAUAUCCAUAGAUAAUGUUAGAUUUAUAUAUAUACAAUUAUGCCGUAUUCAAUAACUACGGAUUUUUUCUUCCUUUCCAAUCUUUAUACCUGUUUCUUCUCCUUCUCCUUCUCCUUCUCCUUCUCCUUCUCCUUCUUCUUCUUCUACUGGGGAUCUAACUCAGGGCCUUGUGUAUACAAGGCAAGCACUCUACCAACUGAGCUACAUCCCCAGACUAUACCUGUUUCUUCUUGACUUACUGCCUGUAUCAGUUAGCUAUUGUUGCUGGGUUGGAUGAAUAUUUCUGCUAAUUUUAGCUAAUAUAGCCAAGGCUCACUUUUGUGUCUGCAAUUAGGUCAGCUCUGCUGCUUUGCUGACUCUAGCUGAUUCCUCUCAUGCCUGGGGCCACAGCAGAGAUAACUUAGCUAACUUGAUUCUAUUCUACUUGGUCUUAUCCUCCAACUUGCUCUUUUCCCCCAUGAAUAUAAUUUGUCUUUUUCCCUAGCUUUCAAGGUUUUGUUUUUAGUAGUUUGACUACACUGUCGAUCUCUCUUGUGUGUUUUCAUUCCCUUAGCAGAAUCUCCUCAAGAAAAGGGGUGGGGUGGAGAGGGAGAGAAGAGUUGUCUCUUGAGGAUCAGAGCUGAUACAUUGUCAAUUCUAGUACAUUCUUUAUUUAAUUUUUUAAUUUUUUUUAGAUGUUGAUGGGCCUUCUAUAUUUGACUGAUUUAUUUUUAUGUGGUGUUGAGAAUGCCUGACACCUUCUAGUCAAGUGCUCUACCACUGAGCCACAACCCCAGCCCUCUAGUACAUUCUUUAACCAAAGCAAAUCACAAAGCCAGCCCAGAUUCAAGAGGUGGACAAAUAGAAGUCAUCUGUUGAGGGGAGGAAAUGCAAAGUGCAGGAAUACAGGGAAAGACACAGCAUUAGGACCAUCAUUGUAAUCAAUCUUCCACACUUACCUGGGUCUGAUUUCUAGUACACUGUUGAUUAGAAAGUCUAAUAGUACACACUUUUGUCUUUUUCCCAGUCUAAAAGGAAAAAUUUUCAGUAUUGUAUUAAUAAUUAUGAUAUUUGUUUUUGUUUCUGAUUCUUAAGAGGGUUUUCUCCUUAAGAGUCAUUGAAUUUAUGAAAUAUUGUUCUCUAUAUUUUCAAAUAAUCCUAUUAUUUUCUCAUUUAUUUUGUUAAUGUGGUGAGUACAUUAAACUAACCUUGCAUUCUUGCAAUAAAUCCAACUUUUUCAUGUUUUAUUAUCCCUUUAUAUAUCAUUGGAGUUAAUUUGUUAGUUUAAAAAAUAAAUAUCUAUGCUCAUGAUGAGAUUAACAUAUAAAUUUAUUUAAUCUCUUAUUCCAACUCAUAUCCCAAUUUGUCUUUUGCUGGAAGAGUUUUUAUAAAAGUGACAUUAAUUCUUUCUUAGAUAUUUUUAAUUACUUGGGGAGUGAUAUGUGACUUCUUUUUUUUAAAAGGGAAUGUUUUAAUUGUGAUUAAUAAAUAACAAUAAGUUAAGAUUCAAUGUUCAGAUUUCAUCUUAAUAAGAUUUCAUGUUUACUAUUUCUUCCUCUAUUUGUUUUGAUAGGCUUAUUUUUUCUAGAAAUGUUUCCAUUUCUUCUACAUUUUCAAGUUUGGUUAGAACCAUUUGAAAUAUCUCUUAUGAUAUUUUAUAACAUUGUAUAGUAAUAUACCCUUUUUAAUUUGUGAUGCUGAUUAUCUCUUAUCUUUUUGUUGUUCAGGUCUACCUUAAAUAUCUACAGCCAGAAAACAAACUCAGUAUGAUUUUAAGCAUUUCAAAUUUGUUGAGAUGACAUAGCAAAUCAUAUAAUAAAUUUUGUAAAUAUUCCAUACAUAGUUUAAAAAUAAUUGUAUUCUUCAGUCUUCUAUAAUAUGCAGUAGUCAAGUUUAUUGUCAUCUCUAUGCUUACUAGUUUUUGAUUGCUUUUUCUAUCAAUCUCUUAUUAAGAGAAGCAUUUUGUUGUUGUUUGUAUUUUUUGUGGUCCUGAGGAUCAAACCCAGGGUUUCACACAGGCUAAAUAGGUGCUUCACUGCGAAGCUAAAUCCCUAGCCCAAGAGAGGUUGUUUAAAUUUCUAAUUACCAUUUUCAUUGUUCCUCAUUGCUUCUUUUCUUCCUACAUCUCUGACCUCCUUUUCUGGGUUCUGUUUUCUUUUGCCUACACAGUGCUCUUUAGUGUUUCCUUUAGCAUGGGUAUACUGCUCUAAGUUUUUGUUUAAUGAAAAUAUCUUUAUUCAACCUUAAUUCUUGAAAGAUAUUUUUGAUUGGUUCAGAAUUCUAUAUUGGCAGUUAUUUAUCUUAAAAGUCAAAGUUAUUACUUCAUUAUCUACUGGUUCUCAUUAUUUCUGUUGGAAGAUGAGUUGUAAGUCAACUUGUUAUGUCUUUGAAUAUAAUUUGUCUUUUCCCCUGGCUUUUAAGGUUUUGUUUUUAGUAGUUUGACUACACUGUGGUUCUCUCUCGUGUCUUUUCAUUCCCUUGGUUAUUUAUUUAUUGCAUGUGGCAAUUAUAUCUGCAAAAUUAUUUGUAAAAAAAAAAACAAUUGGAGGCCCAGGAUAACGUCCUUUUCUCCAUAAAACAGUUAUAUAUACCAGGGGCAUAAGUAAGUGGGACCAUUUUCAUCCAGUGUCAGAGCUGGUGAUGGGUUGAAAUUGGCCUGCAAGGGCUGGGGCUGGGGCUCAGUGGUAGAGCACUUGCCUAGCAUAUGUGAGGUACUGGGUUCAAUUCUCAGCACCACAUACAUACAUACAUACAUGCAUGCAUACAUAAUAUUGUGUCCAUCUACAGCUAAAAAAUAUAAGGAAGGAAGGCAGGAAUGGAGGAAGGAAGGGAGGGAGGGAGGAAGGGAGGAAGGGAGGAAGGAAGGAAGGAAGGAAGGAAGGAAAUUGCAGUGCCUGUUAAGGCAGUCUGUGUUUGGUUCACUUUCUCUCAGAGAGCAGCACUUCAUGAUCCCUAGUCAGGGUGUGUGUGUGUGUGUGUGUGUGUGUGUUAAGAGACAGGUGUGUAAAACUCUCAAUAUUUGUUCCCUCAGCCCCACAUGUCUCAGCCUCACAGCUUCUCAAUGACCUCUUAGUUUUGGCUGGAUGAAAAGUUGUUGCAAAUGCUAAAUUCUCCUCUCUGAAUUCAGUCCUCCUCUUUGACCUUGGUCUCACGUGUUUCUUUACUCUCUCAUAGCUCUCCAGUGCCUUCAAUCAGGCAAGUUUAAUUUUUAUCCUAAUUUCCUAUUUUAGCAUAAAGGGUGGGCAGUUUGUAUUACCCGAAGCAAUUAUCUUCUUCCAUCAUAUUUUAUCUUCCAGAAAUAUGUUAAAAUCUCUCCUUCCUUAUUGAUUCCCUCUUGUAGUUUCCUUGCCACUGAGCCUACUCUCUUUAAUCUUUUUUUACUGUCAUUUAAAUAAGGUUUUAGGAAAUAGUAGAAACAAAUGCGAGUGAGUGUGUUAUAUCUCGUCUUUGUAGCAGGUCCUGCCUAAAAUUAUUUUUAAAUAAAUCAUUUACAAAUACAAGCAUUUGAACUAUUAUUUUAUAAUAGUUUUAUUGAGAUAUAAUUCACAUACCAUACAAUUCCCCUUUUUAAACUGAAUAAGUCAAUGUACUUGAACUAUAAUAAAGAGUCAAUUAUUUGUGCCACACCUGAUGACAAAUCUCCAGAUACCACUGGUUUAAGAUACUGUUGUUGGGCUCCUCUUGAGCUGACAACAUUGAAGGGGAGAAGUGAGACAUAGGUAGAUUUUUACAAUAGGAAAUGCAAAGUAAGGUCAGAGGAGGGCACAGGAAGGAAUGUUCCAUGAAAACAUUAGUAUUUAACCAAAAUCUUGAAUGGUCAGUGGAGUGGAAAUGGACUGAGAUAGGACAAACUGACAGCCUACCAUGUGGGUGACAGGACUGUUGGUGUCAUGCUAGACACAGGGCCCUUGGUGUGGUUUAAGGACAGUGCCCCUUCCCCCACAUUUCAAGCACCCUGGUGCAACCAGGCAACCAAAAGUGUUCUGAUGAGCCCAAUCAGACUGAAGCAGAAAAUUCUAGCCCUGUUCUGGUUUGAUUGAAGUUCAGACCUUAAAUAAAAGGUAAAACUGGAGAAGUAGAUUGUGGAGGAGUUUUAAUUCUGUGCUAAGGAGUUGGGACUCUGCAGUAGGCAAUGAGAAACCUCUAGGAUUUUGUACAGAAGCUUACCAUGAACAGAGCUGGGAUUCGGAAAGAGCCUGUUGGCAGUAGUGUAAAGGAGAGAAGCAAGAGGCCAGGAGAUUGACUGGAAGACUCACGUGAUAGUGAAGCAAAAGGUAAGGAAAGGCUGAACUGGAGUGAAAGAACAGAAGGGGGCACAAAGCCAAUGCAUCCUGGGAACUUUACACAUCAGGGUGCCGGGGCUGGGGAAGGGAGGUGGAUGAAGGACACAUUAGGGUUGUCCCAGGCAAAAGAAACGGGUUAAGAUCUGACUCCACAUUUUAUUAACUGGGUGUUUGGCUCAGUCACUUCAGUUUCCUACAGCAGAAGACUACUGCUCCAGAAAUUUGGAGGUAAAAGAAAGGAAAGGGGUAGAAAGGCAAUCCAAGGGGGUUGCAGGAUUGGCCACAUUUUUAGGAUGGAAAUGAACAGAGAUUAAAGAAAAGGAUCAGGAUUAAGAUUUAAACUGCAAACUGGGUGCCAUGGUGCACACCUGUAAUCCCAGCAGCUCUGGAAGCUGAGGCAGGAGGAUCACAAGUGCCAGGCCAGCCUCUGUCACUUAGUAAGGCCCCAUCUCAAGAUAAAAAAGACUUUGAGAAUGAGAGGAACUAAUUUUUUUUCUAUUUUUAAUGAAGUAGAUAGCAUUCAAAAGUGAAAAAUUAGUCUACUAGCUGGGCAUUGGAUUCUUGUUAAUCAUUAGUCAUUGAAAGGUGGCUUGCUCAGAGCCAUGUUUGCUAAUGUUGAUUUGUGGGAUAUCGUAAGGUAUUUAUUACCAGUUUCCUAGUGACCAUUAACAUAAUAACCUCCAAUAGAAAAGGACUGUCAUAUCACCUACACCAUUUUAUAGACAUUUCAAAGUUCAGAGACUAUUCCUAAAGUAAAUGUUUGGGGACUUCUUUUUUUUUAUUUACAUAAGGUACCCCCUUUCUGUGUAGAAUAGACAGAAUUAUAUUAGUUUUUUAUCCUAAAUUAAAUUCUAUGUAAAGUGGAAAUGUUAAAAGGUUGUUGAGAUUUUCUCCCAAUUUUUUUUCUUGUUUGUAUCAUGACUCACGCACGAUACCAUAUCUAAUCACACCCAGUAGUUUGAGUCAUUUGAUUCAUUGAGCACUUCUCAAUAAUGCCACCGAGUAGUUAUUGACCAAGUCAAUUGGUUGAAUGACUGAAUAGGUCAUCAGCUCAAGAUUGUCAAUAUGUCAAAACAUGGGACUGUUUGUCCUGCAGGCCCAGCCAGCUCAGGGGUUUAGGAUGCUCAUGUUGAAAAUAGAGAAGGGUUUUGUGCAUUUACCUUGACCUACAUAAACCAGUGAUAAGCAAUGAAUUCAAGGUAACUGGGAAGGAUCUUCUACUUGCUUAUCUGGGUAGUGCUUCCCACUUAUAAGAGCUUCUGGUAUUCACUGUUCUCCACAUCAGUCCCUUGAACAAUGACAGUCAAGAAUGUUGGUCUUUUGAGUGGCACAGGGUAUUCUCUUCAUUCACACAUAUUGGAGUUUUACUGGGCCACGUACCAUUGAAAACAAAAGGAGUAGAACAAAAACAACAACAAAACUCUUAUUGCCACUUACCCCACAGUGUUUAAAGCAAAGAAAAUACUUCUACCAAUUAACCUUCCUUUGACAACACUGGAUGGUUGGAUGUCACUUGCCAGAUCAGCUUAGGGAUAUAAAUAAUGGCACUGUCCUAAACUCAGAAAGAUUAUAUUUUAGAAUAGUGAUAACCUUUGGGAAACAGCUGGCCCAAUCUACUCUUUACAGAGGACAAGACAGAGGCCCAGUGACUUGCCCCAGGGCCAUGCAGUGAGUGAGUAACAGAGUCAAAACAAGACUUGAGGUCAGUUCAUUCUGCAUUCUGAGCUCUCUGUACCAACCUACCAGAUUCCCUGGUGACCUCAGGCUAUCUAGCACCUGCCUGUCUCUACACAGAGAAGACAUCAUACUGGUAGAGAAAGGAGAUGUUCUUCUUUCCAAAACUAUUUUCCAAAUUCUUCUAACAUGUAAUUCUUCUAAUAUGUAUUGACACCAAGCCUACUGCCUUGCAAGAACUUCCCAGAUACUUAUAGAUAUAAUCUGAGGACAUCUAAAGCCAUUAUUAGAAGUGAAAUGUUUAACAAAAAUGGGCAAUUUGGGGGCUGGGGUUGUGGCUCUGCGGCAGAGUGCUUGCCUAGCAUGUGUGAGACACUGGGUUCAAUCCUUAGCACCACAUAAAAAUAAACAAAUAAAAUAAAGGUAUGCUGUCCAUCUACAACUACCAAAUUUUUUUUAAAUGGGCAAUUUCACUGGUAAUCUCUCCUGUACUUUUCCCACCAGCUAUGCUAAGUAGGCAAAAAUACAGAUGGUCAGCUCAGAGUGGUCAUGUUACUGGCAGAGAGGAGCAAGCAUACAAAUCCAGGUAUGUCAGUGUCCUACACCUUGCUCUUUCCAGGAGUUAGUAGCCUGCAUUUCAGUGUCUUUAAUGGAUGCUGAUAGUGGACUGAAAUCUGCCUGGGGCCAGAGUGAUCAAAAUGUAGUUCAAUAUAAAACAUGCUGAUGCUUUCAUCUAAUUUUUUAUCUGAGAAUGGUAACAAUUAACAUGAAUUAAGUACUUAUUGUGUGCCAAGACCUGGCUUUUUCUCAUUGAUCCAGUUAAUCUCCACAGUAACCUGUUGGAUAAAUGCCAUCAUGAUUAGUACCAUUUUUACAGGAAACUGAGGUGGGAAACGUUCAGUGACUCAUCCAAGAGCCCCCCUGCCAAUUUGGAGUGAGGAUUCGAGUCUGUGCAGUUGGGCUCCAGAGCUUUCUGGGAAACAACUCUAGGCUCUGCAGGUCUGCUGAGGGAGUGUAGGAGGGCCUCCAUUAAGAAAGUUGUGGGGAGUCCAGAAUGGAUUAUCAGAACCUUCAUGGAGGCAGAAUUAGAAAUGAACUUGAAGUUUCUAGAGUAUUGGUUUAUGAAAUAUGAAAUGACUGGAGGUUUUGAGGUAGUAUGCAAGAACCUAGAUGGGUUUGCAGAGAAAUGUCUGACUCUUGGUGACAGUGAACAAAACAACAGGGAAUGCAGAGUGAGUACUCUGGGUCUCUCUGAUUUCUUAUUAUUUAGCAUCUUUAGUUUCUAAGCAAAUAGCAUGUCUGUGUGAUUUAAUAACUUUUCUUAGCCAAUUCACAUCUUUUCCCCAAUACUAACACAUACAAGUUAUGAUAAGAUACCAUUUUCUCAAGCACCACCAGAUCCUCAACUUCUCAAAGACCUCAGCAGAUAUUCUUAACAACUAACACAGACACUUGUAUGGUUUUGGAGCAGCCAAUCAUUGUGCUUGCAACUCAGUGCUUAUAGAUUCUUUCCAAUCAUGUGACCAAAUAUCAAUCCAACUGAGAGUUUAAAAACUGUCAGAGCUCUCUUAAAAAGUGUGAUAGACAUUAUCUGUGUAUCUCAUAUGUUUAUAUUAUAUAGCUUGAAAUGGAGCUUGGAUCUGUUAAAAAAAUUCAUUUACUCAAUAAGUAUGUAUAGAAUGCCUGUGUCUAUUCCAGAGAUUGGGUUAAACUCAUAUCUCCAUUACACAUGGAACCCUUAUAUUAUUUUAUGUUUCUUUUCUUUCUGCAUUCUUGCUAUAAAUAAGCACACUAGGCAAGUUCUCAAAUUCUGCUGAUAAAUGCUGAGCUGUCCACUUGAUAAGGUUUUCACACAAAGAUCACAGGGAAAAAUCACUUCCUGCAAGGACCUCAGGGGCAUUACCCACUUUCUCUUGAUGGUUUUGGCUCCAGGGGGUCAUAUUGUCACAUCGCAUUUAACCAAUCCCAUUUUCUCAGUAGUAGUGCCCACUUUUUCCCAUUCCAUUUUUAGCUGGAAAGGAGCCUGCUAUUUUCAGCUUUGGGAUAUACACAAAAGAGCCAAAGAGAUUGAGGUCACAGAAGUCUGUCUGUCCCACUCAAUUCCAUAGGGCUGAGAGAGGUCUUGGUGGCAAGAGCCACCUCCUCUGCUUCAAAAGAUGAGACAGGUGAAAGAAGAUUUUGAGGCCUGCCUCAGCCCAGGACAGGUCAAGAUAGUGACUGCUAAACCAGUGCUUAUCCAAGAGCCUCCUCAUGGUAAACCAGAGCCACCAGUCCUGCUUGGUGGAGACCUUUUCCCAGCCUACCAUACAUCGUUGGCAAUUAGAGCUCAGGAGGUAGGUAAGGGAUCACCCCUCUCUUAGUGAUUCCCUUGCACAACAGGUUUGAGAACUUCUGUUGCAAAUCUUCAUGGAUAAAUUUAUACAUUUUUAACUUUUAAUGGACUAAAACAUUGAUUUAAGUAGUGUGGGAAAUAUUGGGGUGGAGUUUAUUAAAACUCAAGACCUUAAACUAUCAUGUUGAGUGUCAAAAAUUUACCUUGGAGUGGGUCUCUGAAUUUCUCUUUUCCUAAACUCUUCUCUCCAGCUCCCCUUUCUUUGGACAAAGGAAUGGUCCCUUAGGGCUAAAAAUUAAUAGCAGCAGCAGUAAAGACUGCAGGUUAGCUGCAGAGCAGGACUAGGCAUUAGCUCUAAGAAACUGUCCCUGAAAAGAUCAAAGCAGAAGGCAAAAUAUUUAAGUUUCUGUUGUAAACAUUUCCUCUCUAUCUAUCUAUCUAAAUCACCUAUAAUCUGUAGAGAUUAACAAAACUGGAAAAUUUGGCCCUGAAAUAAGAAUUUCCUUCUGAGUUGUUCUGAAGUUAAGCUUCUUUAUUUUUAUUUAUUUAUUUUUAUACUACUAGAGAUUGAAUCCUUUUAUUUUUUUAUUUAUUAUUUUGAGACAGGGUCUCACUAAAUGGCCCAGGUUGGCCUUGAACUUGCAAUCCUUCUGCCUCAGCCUCCCAAAUCACUGAGAUUACACGGUUGCAUCACUGCACACUCCUAAACAUCUUGAGGAGACUUACAGAUAUGGCUGCUGUUUUCCCUUUUACAAGAAGUAGGAUUUUUCCUCAGUCUCUCUCUGCCACUUCUGGGAGCUGCCUAAACAGAUUGACACUCAGUGUUCUCUUUUCUCCUCCUCCUGCCUUUUGUCCCGUAUUAGCGACCCCACCAUCAUUGGCCAGGCUUACUAGCUUACCUCUGAUCCCUACGCCCCUCCAGCUUCCUUGCCCUCCAGCUUCGUGCCAUCUGCAGGGAACAGCAGUUAAAGACAUCUAAACCCCCUGUUUAGUUCCAGUGGGAUCCUCCUGGCCAUGCCUCAACACCUUCUCUUUCUCCUCUCUGCCCACCGUGAACUCUGCAAUUUUUCUCCUGGGCCCUUUACUGUUUUCUGGGCACUAUUUUUCCCACAUAUUACUGAAAACAUUUUGCAAAGGAGCAAGAGCUUCUUUGGUGGGGCAUUACAUUAAAGAAAAGACAUUUGAUAAAGAAAUCCUUUUAAAUAAAUUUUUAAACUAUGUACAAGUUUUACUUCGACUUUGAAGAAAAAAUAUUGUUGGCUUCAUGGUAUUAUUUUGAAGUAACUAAGGUAGCUUUUAAAUUACACAAAAAUAAAGGGGAGGACUAGGUACAAUAGCACAUGCCUGUAAUCCCAGUGGCUCCAGAGGCUGAGGCAGGAGGAUUGCGAGUUCAAAGCCAGCCUCAGCAAAAGUAAGACACUAAGUAAUUCAGUGAGACCCUGUCUCUAAAUAAAAUACAAAAUAGGGCUGGGGAUGUGGCUCAGUGGUCAAGUACCCCUGAGUUCAAUUCCUGGUACCAAAAAACUAAAAAUACAAAAGGGGAGAGAUAAAUAAGAGAACAAUGUUAGAGUAGAUAUUUACCUCUCUCUGUUUUCUGGCACCAAACAGCUAAAGCACAGUCUUACCUAGUUCCCUCCUGUACUGGAAAAUACAUGUUUGUGUUAAACCAGUUAUAUACAUGUAUAAGUAUAGUAAAGUAAGAAAAUUAAGUAGAGAUUAUGCAGGAACUAAUUGAGCAUGAGCUAUUGGUUAAUAUCUGAGAGGGGAAAUAUUAGAAAGAAAAUGAAAUUAGACCAUGCAGGAAAGCUCUCUUUAAUUAAUGUUUUAACUCAUUCCCACCCAAAAAAAAACUACAUGAAAAAAAUAUUAAAAUGUAAAUAGAGAAUUUUGCCUACUAAAAAGAGAAAACAGCCCUCCAGAUGGACAGAAAGGGCAUACAGAGCCUAAACAUGGAAUACUACUCCAGAGUAAAUCAGUCCCCUUUUACUAUCCUUAUGAAGGAAAAUAGCAACACCAUUUCUGCUGAUAUGGCCAGAGUGGCCACACCAAAAAAAAAAAAAAAAAUAGUCUUAGAGACCUCAGAAUAUAUUUGAGUCAUUUAUUUUAUUUAUUUGGUACUGGGGAUUGAACCCAGGGGCACUUUACCAAUGAACUAAAUCUACAGUCCUUUUUAUCUUCUUUCUGAGACAAGGUCUUACUAAACUCCAUAGGGCCUUGCUAAGUUGCUGAGACUGGCCUCCUGAGUCACUGAAAUUACACAUGUAGCUAAGUCAUUCAUUUUAACAAGGAUAGGUGAUCUGUCCUGGAAAUUUCCCAGAUUUUAAACCAGAUCAUCAAUUAACCAGGAAAUAUUUAACAUGUUGUUGCUAUGUGUGGAACACGUAACACAGUGCCUUGGCAUGGCUAAGACUUGGCACUCUACACGUAAUUUAGAACAUUCCAUCACAUUUAUCAUCUUUUCCAAAAUGAUUUUUUUCCUCUUAGUCAUUCAAUGUCAUUCAUUUCUUGGGGGCAUCUACUCCUACAACAACAGUAGAUUUUAUGUCCAAUCUAUCAGCAGGCACUGGUUUUAAAAAGCCAUAGCACAAGACAUUUAUACAACCAGAUAGGUUGCAAAUGAGUCAGAUUCAGUAUGCCCUAGUCUUGAGCUUUCCCUUUGGUUGGUUUAUUAUUAUAGUGAAGACAUAGAGGCACAUACUAAGUGUUCAGGACUUCAAAAGUAUCAGAAUGAAAAGUAAAAGAUUUAACCCAUUAUUGUCUCUUGUACUCUAGACUGGCUUUUUCCAAAUAAUGUCCACAGGUCCCCCAAGUAUUGGGAGGACAGAGGAAGCAGACAGACCUCUACCAGUUAAUCUUAUGUGUCAUAACUUAACACCAUAACUCAGAGAAAAGAGGAAAAAGCCUUUAGUAAAUAAGAUAAAUCCUGUUAAACUAGAAUUCUUUAAUUAGACAGAGCACAUAAGACUUUCAGUGGUUUAAAUAAAAUUCCCUCUGAAUCAUUAAGAUCAAUUUAUGUGAUGCUGGGGGGUAGUUCGAUGGCAGAGUGCUUGCCUAGCAAAAGCAAGGCCUGGUUCUCAGCAACACACACACACACACACACACACACACACACACACACACACUUAUUCAUGAAGUCUGAUAAACUUUCUCAGCUUUUCCAAAUUAAGUUGUCAGGAAAACAAGACCUGCCCUCAGAGGCUGAGUCUAGCAAUUCAUUCUCAUAAAGGGGUAUAUUUACUAGUUUGUAGUUGAAGUCUACUAUGAACUAAAACAUUUUCAUUAAUCACUUAACUUUUUACUAGUGUUCAUUUCAUAUCAGAUGAUAUAGUUUUGAUUAAAUAAAGUAUGCUUUUCUUUUUAAAAGUUAUAUCAUUUGCCAGGUGCUGUGGCACAAACCUGUAAUACCAGCAGCUCAGGAAACUGAGGCAGGAGGACUGCAAAUUCAAAGCCAGCCCUCAGGGCCUUAGUGAGGCCCUAAGCCACUCACUGAGACCCUGUCGUGUCCCUGAGUUCAAUCUCUAGUACCAAAAAAAAAAUAAAACAUAAAAAUAAAAAGUAUGUUACUUAGGCCUUAAAUAAUGUCAGACUAACUGUCCACAGAGCACAUACACACAUUCUAAAAUAAUGGACUUCAACUAACCAGCAUCGUUAUAAAAGGUAGUACAAAAUAACACAGGUGUUUUAGCAUGUAUUUCAUUAAAAUCUGUCCAUGGAAAAUCUGAGAAAAAAAGAAAAUGGGUGUCUGUCCCUAAUUCCCAACUGUGAGUGUCCUUCCUUUUGGAUCUGUCUGUGUUAUUAGAUGAGAAGAGAGAGUCCAAGGUGAAAAUAACAGGGAAUAGUACCAUCAAGGAUGAAAUGACAGAAAGUUUGCCAACCACCUGCCAGGUGGGAAAAUCCUGACAGUUCAUCCACUUCCGAAAUGCCCAAGGUAUUCUUUGCACAAAGACAUACACAGAAGUUGUACAUAGAUGAUAAAUUGCCUGAGUCUCUGAUUCACAAAAUCUCUACGACCACCUAAUGCUAUUUUUUAAAAUGUAUGAAUACAUACAUCUCCAUUUUUACUUUAUAAUCUGAGCUAGAGAAAAUUUACUGCAGCAUUAUCAUCCAGGCCUCAUUACCUCAUGGUUAAUUAGUUAACAUUUGUAAAGCGCUUUGAAGAUGAAAAGCAUCAUAUAAAUGCUAAGAAUUAUUAAAUAAUAUGAGAGGAAAAUCAUAAAAUAGAUACAUUGUUAACAUUAAUUUGUAUUUUAUCUUUGCUUAUUAUCUUUCCCCUAGUAUCUGUCAUUUAGGGCUGAACUAUAUAUAAAGGCCGGGGGAGUUUCCUUGUCUAUCUCAGUUGUGACUCAGUAUUGUGCUGGCCCCAAAUUAAUACUUGCCAUAAAACAAGUUCUCAGACUGAAACAAAUUAACUGUCCACAGAGAUCCCCACUUAUACUGGUGAAAAUGUUAAAUUAGUUAAACAAUUCACUCCCCCCCACACACACACAUACAGAUAAAAGAUGUAUCAAUUCAGAAGUAAUUAACAAGCAUUUCUGUUUUGUUCAAGACAAUGCAAAAUACACUAGCAAGAUUAGCUGAAUCAUUUGGGUGAGAAACAUAUGAUUCUACUUUGCUCCCACAGUAUGGUUGCAGAUCCGGCUGCUGAAUAGGUUAGGACAGUAUAUUAUGUAGUGUUGACUGUUCCCUACAUUUUGCUGUCAUCAAAGCAAGUUAAACAAACUUUUCUGAAGCCCUGUCAUCCCGCCUCCUCCUCCCCCAAUCCUAAGUGGACAGAAGGACAGACAAGCAAACCUGCUUAAAAAAAAAAUCUUUGGCAGCUUGCCAGGGAUGAGACAGGGAAGAGAAGAAAAGGCAGUGGUAAAAUAUUCUUAAAAUAUGUUCAUGAUGAAGGCUUUCAAUGAAACAGGAAAUAACAGAUCAAGUGCAUUCAAAGUAUUUGCAAACUGUUUAAUUGGGUAAAGGCAAGUCACCCUUUUCUGAUCACAGCAACGUCUUUAUUGUGAAGCGCUCUUCAGCGAUCCUAAAGUUAAUCCCAAGUCCUGUUACAGGAAACUCAUCCUUAUUAAAGUAACAUUAAGUGCUCCUUUUUUAUUGAUCUUCCCCUUCAGCUUAAUGAUAGAAACUUACUGAUGUUUUAAUAAUAACCUCACAAGCUUUAUCUCAUUUUACUUUGCCUUGGUACUAAAAGAUGCAGUGGAAACUAACUUAGCAUAAACAUUUUGCAGAUGUCUUUAAAGGCCAGGGGGAGGUGGGGGGGAAAAGAUUCAGUUGAGCUGCGUGUUAACAAAGAUGGCUGAAAAACUAAAAGAUAAAAGGGAGGCUCCAGUGUGAACAUCAAAGAAUUGUUAAUGACAAGAAAUACCAUUAGGGUUAGCAUCUCUUUUGUUUCAACCCUUUCACACCUGCAGCGUGUGGUGAGCUAAGCCUUUGUUCCAAAAUCUGAAUUACCUCCAUUAGCACUUAUAGAAAAAAAUGGUUGCAAAACAACAGAAACGUACUUUUGGCUCUCCCCUUUGGCUUGAAAAGUCAGAAAUUAGUUAGGUAUCUGUGGAUUUCCUUCUAGUCACUGGUGUAACUAUAGAGAUUAUAGAAGGGUAAGGUAAUAGGUUGCAAAUGAGUCGGGUUGAAAUGUGAGAAUAGCUUUGUAACUCAAAAAAGAGAGGUAAUGUAAGCAAUGUGGAGAAGCACGCAUAAGAAGCUCCAACAUUAGCAAUAGCAAAAUCAGAGCGUGAAAUUCAGAUUAGCCCUCCCCAGGCUGUGAGAGGAAGGGGGUAUCACAAGACUUGGCAUGGCGAAAGGUGUAACCUGUUUUAUUUGGCCCCUGAAAAAUUUUAACAGAUGGUAGGACCAGCUGUCUUUUUCAGCCAUUUAAUAAACUCUUCGGUGGUAACAGUUUGGAAAGUGGGGGUUUUUCGUUUUAGGCCAGAGGAGAAAAUAAAGAAAUCUGUCCCAAGUUGUGUUUGCCAAGUAGUAAGGCCUGGAAACGUUAGGAAAAGUUAAAGGGGGAAGAAUCUAGUCGACUAUAUUAUCAUCGUGUCUUUUUAGAGAGCAGCAACAAAAACAAAUCCCUCCCUGCCAAAUGAGGUGACUAACUACUGGCAAAACGUGUUUUGUCUCACCAUCUUUAUCUGGGAUUUUAAUUUUGGUCUUUCAAAAAAGAUGCCUGGUUAUUUGUUUAAUGCUCAUUGACAAAGCACUGUAAGGCAGCAGUUACAAAAGGAAACAAACUAAAACUUCAUUAGAAUUUAGUACUCACAGAAGGGAAAUACUUUGUUAUAAAGAAUGAAAGGGUAAAUUCCUUCCAAUUUACAUAAUUAGUCUAAAAUGGCAUAGAACCUUCCUAAUCAUGUCCUGUAAAUUACAGAGCUCUGCUCCAGACCUCAGGGAAUGGGGGAAAUGCUCAUGUCAAGUUAUUUUCAGAAGAGGAUCUAAGAGGUUUUGCUUUUGUGCCUAAAAUGUUUCAUAAAAUUGGCAAUGUUUUCCCACCAGUAAAAUGGCAACCCUUGGUUAUGGGAGAAAGAGUUUAUUUGCAAAAAUUCUCCCCAUGGCUACAAACACAACUCUUCCUUUUGAAAAUGCCCUUGAUUCCUGGUUGAGUGACAGCCACUUUCCUUUGACAAAGCUUUGUUCUGUCCACAGGCCCAUUGUAGAUAUCAGAUCUGUAUCACUGCAAGUAAAUUACAAUACUAAUAUGUAAACUCUUUUUAAAUUAGAUUAGACCAUCUUUUUAGAGAACUAAAGCAUAUGCAGCUUUCAUUAUAUCUCGUUGAUCCCUUUUUUUUUUUUUCUUAGUUCUAGCCUCCCUCCUUUCUGGACUGUUGGUAAUGUUUUGGCUCCUUAAAAAAGUAGCAAAGAAGCCAGGCACGGUGGCGCAUGCCUGUAAUCCCAACAACUCAGAAGGAUUGUAGGUUCAAAGUCAGCCUCCGCAACCUGGGAAGGCCCUAAACAGCUUAGCAAGACCCUGUCUCAAAAUAAAAUAUAAAAAAAGGGGGGGGCUGGGGAUGGGACUCAGUGGUUCAGAACCCCGGGGUUAAAUCCCUGGUACCAGAAAAAUAAAAAUAAAAAAGAUAGCAAAGUGUAGGUGGUCAUAGAAGCAUAAGGAAUAAUUCUACCUGGAUUAAGUUAGUUCAGUCAUCAAGGCUAGUUACCAAAAUUAACAGAAUGCCAUUUCUAAUUCUUUAAUUACUAUGAUUUGUGACAUGCCUUAGACAAAUUACAGUCCUUCCUUCAGGGUAUUUUCUCCAGUCUGUAACAAGGGAACACCAUUCAUUCAACACAUCCUUAAUGAGUACCUACUCCACUCCAAGUACUGUGCCAAGCGCUGGAAUAGCAAAGGGAUAAAGACACGAGAUCCCUAUUCCUUUGGAGCUUAUAUAGCUCACAUUGUCACUGGAUAAACAUUAGAGAAAGUUUACAAACAUAAAACAUCCACAGCGGACUAUUUAAGCUCCAUCUAUGCAACUUCAAAAUUACCCACAUGAUGCAGAUGCCUUUCACAAUUAAAUCUGGGGCAGGGGGACUUCCACAUUCAAGAAUAAGGAAGCAACUUCAAAUUCAUCCUGGCAACCCUUGGCAAAGAGUUGGUUUUUUGAUGUGAAUGUUUCUUUUCCAGUCACUGGUUUCAGAGAUCACAAGCUCCUCACUAAAAUGUGAUUAUCUAGAAGUUAUAUGUAUCUAGAAAUUACAUGUAUUUUUCUCACACAUGACAAAGUACUUUACUAAAUUUGGAGAAUAAACAGUUUCGAUUAGAAAAAAUAAAGAACAUGGAGCCUGACUUUAUAGAAAGAUAAGUAUUAAAACUAUCUGAAAACUAGGUUUAUCUUGUACGUGGAAGAUAGAAACUUUCAACUUAGUCCCACCUCCAAUAUUUCAAUACCUUCAUUUCUAUAUGAAGCACUUUCAGAUUACCCGAGUCAAAUUAAAUACUGACACAAAUUCUAUCCAAUUUUCCAGAAUGUAAAAGUACAGUUCACCCUGAAUACAAGAGAGAAAUUAGAAAUUCAUGCAAAACCCAGAUGAAACUGGGCCAGGUAAUUCAUUGUUUCUCUACCGAGUAGUAGGCCACUCUUGGGGGUGGCUGGCAAUUUCACCUUCCCAGCCAAGGCCCCUGCCCAAGCAGUGACCAACUAAAUAGUUCUCAGAGAAGGGCACCAAAAGCAGAAGCCCCUAAGAAUAAAGUCAGUGACACUUAAGUACAGUUGUGGCAGAAUACUAAGUCCAAACACUUAUGCUGCUUCCUAAUGCACCCUCAUAAAAAAAUGCUAUAUUUGACUUUUUGUUGUUGUUUUACUAGACUCCCCUUAGACAGUGAACUGCAAUAUUCCUAGCAAAGACAAAACACUAGUUUAUGCUCAUGAAAAUAAGGAGUGAUGAAAUAGUAAAGACCAUAAAAAGGUGACAAAUAUUGACCUGUAACUCACCUUAGGAUUGUUGGGAAAUAUUACUUUCAGAAUUCUCCAAAUAUCCAGGAAAUUCUGAAAUAAGAGAAAUGGUAUAAGAACCCUCAUAUCAGGCAUUUUCUAAUAGAAUAAAAUAAUUUUCUUUUGAUCCAAGUGUAUUUCAUCUCUGAGCUAUAUCCCAGGCUAGCCUCUGACUUGCAAUUCUCCUACCUCAACCUCCCCAGUCACUGGAAUUAUAGGCAUGUGCCAUUACAUCCAACUAAAUUAUUUUCUUAAAUUUGUAGCACAUGAGAAAUCAAAUUAUUUCCAGUUUCAUUGCUAUAAUGAAUAUAAUUGCAAACAUUGAAAAGGAACUAUUUCUCAAUCUCAUUAAUAUCACUCAAAAGAUAUUUAUUGAAUGUUCACUAUGUGCCAGAUACCUUUCUUCUGAUGCAAAGAGCCCCAAAAUAUUACAGGGACAGGAAGAGGGGAAAAAAGAAGAAAUAAGGUGAAGGAAAAUAAAGAAGAAACUAUUUACUGGAUGUUAAAAUGUACUAUAAAAUUUAUAUAUAUAUUAUUAUCUCCAGAGUAGACAAAUAGAAAAAUAGAACAACAAAAAAGAUACAAAAUAAACAUAAGUAUAUCUAAGUUUUUCUCUUAUUUUUUAUUUUAAAUUGUAAUUUUGUCUUUUUUCAAAAUACCUUCAUUUUAUUUAUUUAUUUAUUUGGUGUUGAGUAUAAAACCCAGUGUCUCACAUGUGCUAGGCAAGCGCCCAACCACUGAGUUACACCUCCAGCCCCCAUAUCUAAGUGUUUCUUUAUGAUCCAGGUGAAAUUUCAAAUCAGUCAAGAAAUGAUUCGAAAAUUAAUUGAAUUUUUGGAAAAAAAAUUCAGUGUCAUUCUCAAGCUCUAUGAACUACCUGCUUGCAAACCCCCAAGUUUGUCUGCCAUUGGCUCACAGCAGAAGGCACAAAGUUCCCAGGUCCCAGACCACUGCAGCAGCAGUAGUAGCCAGAGAGCCAGCAUUUGCACCUUUCUUCCAAUCUCCCAUUCCCACAGGCUGAAGCUGGGGGCCAGCUGCUGCCUGCAUACAGUGCCGGGGAUACAGGCGAGGUACCCCAAGCUUAAGAAAUCUAGUCUUUUUGUAAUGGGCAGUAAGCCUGCCUGAUCUUUGCCCCAGAUGGUGGUAUUAUCUUUAUUAAUAUUGCACAACCAAAAACCUGCCCUCUGCUCUUAAGGAGACAUUGUCUCUACUUUCCAAGUCUGUUCACCACAUAAACAUCCUUGAAAAGUUAGCCGAGGAUAAUGGCAGUCUGCUCAUGAGACAUGCAGCAACAUGACACAUACAAGGAGAAUGGUCUCCCCACAGGCAUUAACUUUUGCUUGAUUUUUAAAGAAAUCUGGAUAAAGAAAGGGAUCAACAUAAAAAAAAGAAAGAAAGAAAGAAAGAAAAGAAAACAAGAAGAAAUUAUAACAAAGUAGGAGAAAAUAUAUAUGAAUGUUUCCAUACUUUUUAGGUAGGGAGACCUUUCCAAACAUAAUGUUAAAGACAACCUAAUGGAAAAAGAAUAAUGGAUUUACAAUUUUUGUAGUUUUAUGUAUCAGUUAAAAAUUACAUCUAAUUUUUAAAAGAUGGGUUUCACUACUUAUGAUUUUAAAUUGUAAUCAAAUUGCACUGGGGAAAUAAAAUUUAUUUUCCAUAUGUACUGAAUUUCUGUUUGGGAAGAUGCUAAGGAGGUGGAUGGUGGAGGUGGAUGGUGGCAAUGGUUACCAACAAUGUAAAUGUAUUGAAUGCCAAUGAAUUGUACAGCUAAAAAUGUUUAAAUGGUAAGUUUUGUUAUUAUAUUUUAAAACAUUAGAUUGUAAAUAUAAUCUGAAAAAUGACAUUUGUGGCAUAAAAACAAUGUUUUCACUUAAUCCGUCUGUAUUGACUUCUAUGAUGCACUAAGAAUACAUGAAGAUCAAGAUGUUACAGUCUUAUCUUCAUGGAGAGUAGUGAGUUCCUACAAACUAUUAAGAAAAAAGAAAAACAUCCCAAUAAAGACAGACAGCUCACACAAGUUGAUAAAUUAUGAAAAAGUGUUAGACCUCACUAAUAAUAAACUAGAAAUUAUAAAUGGAGUAUCAUUUUUUACUUUCGGAAUGGCAAUGUUUUCUUAAUCGAAGUGCUAUUUGUGAGCAUAUUAGAAAAUGGGUACUCUCAAACUCUGCUAGUAGGGAUAUACAUUGACAUCGAGUCCCUGUCUACAACUCCAGAUAUAUCAGGAGCCUUAAAAUUAUGCUUACUUUUUGCUCAGCUGUUCCCCCAAAAGGGAUAUAUCCUGAGAGACCAGUCUGAGAUAUGUACAAAAUAUUGUUCUUUGCAGCAUUGUAUGUAAUAGCAAAAACAAUCAAACAAAACCCCAUUGGAAGUCAUUUAAAUAUUCACAAGUAGGGCAUUGUAGUGUAACUAUAUAAUGGAAUACUAUCUAGUCUUAAAAUAGCUCAAAAAGGAGGAAAAAGAAGCCUGGUUAUAAAAAAAAGUACAAAAAAAAUUUUAUAGUAUACUCUUAAAAACAGUAUAAAUACUAUUUUCAAUUUUCAAACAGGCCUAUGUACCAUGAAAACUAAAAGGUUGGCAAUGUUGGUAUUCCAGCAUUGAAUAUUCAGUAGUCAUUAUUAGGUAAGAAAUAUUAAAGGGAAGAGAGUAGCUGACCCUUUUCCCUUCAUUAGAUGUAUAUUAUUUAUAUUUGAAGAAACCUAACUAUAAUUUAAUUCAUUCUUGAAUGUAGAAUACUUUUCCAUGUAAUCUUUUUAACAGUAUCUAAUCCUGUUUUAAAUCUUUCUCUUUCUUGUUAAAAGGUUCUAUGAAUGGACUUGCCACCAAUCCUCCUGAGGAAAGGCCUUACAAACUGCAUUUUUAGUCAAUGAAUAAAUUUGGCACAUCAUAAUAAUGGAUUAUUGUGUAACUGUUAGAAAUUAAGAUUUCGUUAACUAUGUAAAACCAGGGAGAAAUCUUUAUGGUAAAAGAAUAUAAAAGGCUGUGCGUGAUGUACACUCUGGUUUCCAUAGUUCAAGGACAGGUGUGGAGCAUAGCAGGUAAUGGAUAGACUUCCCACGGCGAGAAGAUGGAUUCCAACUCUUCUGUUUUCAUUGGAACUUCUGAAAAUUACAAAAAACAAGGGCUGUGUGAGACUUGAGAGUGGACUGAUGUAAGAGAGAAGCAAGAAGAUUUAGACCAGAAUAUGUGGGGGCCUGUGCCUUUGUAGGGUCACCACCUACCCACAGUGCAGCCUCAGCCUGGCACGCUUCAGGACUCAAUUUCUUCAGACUAUCAUGUGAUAUUCUGGCUCUGGAUGAUUGAUCAGUGCAAUCUAAAAGUUUUCAUCAUGUUUUAAGUCAAGAUCUUUUUCUUCCUGUGAAGUGUGAGGAAAGCCCGGGAGAAAGUCUGUGAAACAGUUCUGCAGGGCGGAGCUGCUCCCAUGGAUUCUUCAACCCCUGAUCCCUGAGACACCUCUGCUGCCCUCCUGAGUUUUUAGGAGAGCUGAAACCUCUCUUUCUAAUCUUUCAGAUGAUGAAUGAAUAAAACAGAAAGGGAAUUUAUUGUCAGUAGGAAAAUCUAACCACACUCCAAGUUAGGAUGAGUGCUUGGAGAGGCUGAAGUCCAUGAGGUAGAGGAGCCAUAGGAAGGUUCUCAAGUGCUGGCUGGGAGGCUCUGCAUUACAGCCACCCAGGCCAUGCAUGGAAAUGUUGAGUCCCAAGCCUUUAGCCAUGAUGACUGAUCAGUGUUCAAGGUGGGUGCAGGCCUCUGCACUCUCAAGGGGCCCUGUCUGAAGUGAGCCAGUGUGCAGUUAGGAUAACUGGGCAUCAUCUCCAUUGGCGGCUCUCUGCUCAGGGGAGUUUUCCUGAAGACAGAGAAAACCCUGCCUCAGUCAGGCCAGCUGAGCCUCAUCUGCCCAUGACUGACAAAUACUCCAUCCUUCAAAAUUCUUGCCCAUUCUCUACCUCCAUCACCACAAUCUUCAGACCUUACAACAGUGUCUUAGGAAAAGCAAAACACCACUAAUUAGAAUCCUGUUCAUCUUAGUUAGUCUUAUCAGUCACAUUUGCAGAUCAUUUCUUAUGGCAGUUUGAGAAACUUCCAAAGAUAUACAACCAUUUCAUAAAUAUUUAUAUUUUAAUUUCAGAGGAACUUACUUUCUUAUUAUGUUCCCAAUUUUGCCUAUAUGCUCUACUUGAGUUCUGAAAAAUCUCUAUAUAUUAAUAAAAAUCAAUAAAGUCAAAAUUGAACUGCUCCUGGGCGUGGUGACACAUGCUUGUAGUCCCAGCAGCUUGGGAGGAUCACAAGUUCAAAGUCAGCCUCAGCAAUGGAAGGUGCUAAGCAACUCAGUGAGAACCUGUCUCUAAAUAAAAUACAAAAUAGGGCUGGGGAUAUGGCUCACUGGUCAAAUUCCCCUGAGUUCAAUCCCUAGUACUCCCCCCCCACCAAAAAAAAAGAGAUUGAAUUCCUAAUAGAAAACAAGAAUAAAAUACUUCAAAAUUCCUUUCUUUUCUGGUAUUCUCUUUUCUUUAACUCACAUCAAAAGUUCUAAGGAAAGGUAAUGACCAUGGUACUGAUUUUUUAUUUUGCUUCUGACGGUUAAAUUCAGGGCCUAAAAUUUUGCAUUAAUUACAUUAUUCUUUUGAUAAUAAAAGAGAUGCGGCUGAUUCUUUGAAACAGUUGUGGCCAGAUGGAAAUAUAAUGCCAAUAUGACAGUAUCUAUGAAAGUCGUUGGAUUGACUGCUCUGGGGACCAGAACUUGAGAUUUCUCUGCAGAACAGAACAUAAGCAAAUGAAGGUUUUAGCUGUGGUUGCCCACACUCUGUCACUGAGCCUCAGCCCUGUCCUGCUGGGGCCACCAGCACCAGGUGGAAGAGCAAUUUGGUCUCCUCUCGACUUAAUCCGCUCCUGUCUGUUGAGACCUCACCGAGGUGCCAACUGUAAGGAUGGCUCUGGGUUUCAAACACCUGUCCACUAGGAGCUGGACUUCUACCCCCAACUUCCUUUCAAGCAGCCACAAGGCAGACAUCAGAUGGUGGCAACUUCUGGUCCCUCCUGAGAGGAUUGGUUCCAUGGUGUCCCACGGCUCCUUGCUACAGUUUCACCAUUUUCUGGGUAUUUAUUCGAGUGUGUAAUUUUGAAUGUAGACUAAAAGCGCGAGCGAAAUCUUCUUUGGAAAGCCAUACAGAAUCAUAUGGACAACAGGGCUGCGCUUUCCUUCUGUCUGAUUCCCACAGCCAUCCUUUAACCUCUUGUAUUUGGGUGGGUUUUUUCUUUAAUUUGAUUAAUAUUAAUUCUGUGCAUCAUCCUAAAUAUUUAUGAACUAUUUUAAUCCUCAUAACCGUAGAAAGUAAGUACUGUGAUUACACAUAUCUUAGAGAUGAAAAAAUGAGGCAUGGGGAGGUUAAGUGUCCAAAGUCACAAAGUAAUAAGUGGAGCAGCUGGGAGCCAGGCAUUCUGACCCCAAAAUCUGGGCGGAAGGUAUUCUUUUCCACAUUUUCCAGAUAAAUACUCCAAGGGGCGAGAAAGUACUUGGUCUACCACUUCACACUCUUGUCUCUUCUAAUUGUGAGUCCUAAUUUAUUCGCUUUUACAGACUUCAGGAUGACAUGUUGCUGCCCUUGUUUGCAUCCUCCCAGCCUGUGGUGUCUUACUCAGAUGGAGCUGAGCAAGCUCCUGAGGAAACUAAGGGCCUUGCAACUCCCAGCAGGAGCAAGUCAGGGACUGACCCCGGGCUCCACCUUCUGCAGAGGCUUCCUGAAUAAGCAGCAGAUCAGGACCUCCCCAGGGACUUACCAGGCUUUAAAUCCUUUCCUGCUACUCACACUAACAGGACUCUGGUUCAUUCAUUUGUUCAACAUAUAUUUAAUGAAGACUGAAAAGUACCAUGCUAGGUACCAGAGAUGCAGCAGCAAGCAAGACACCAAGCCCCUGCCUUUAAGGAGCUCUCAAGUAUAAACAGAUGGAGGCAAACAUAUAAAAAGGCAAUUCCAAUGUCCAGGAGAACUGGCAUAACAGUAAUGGGCAUAAUGGGCAACCUAGCGUGUUGAGGAGCAUAGGGAAGGGGCAAAACCAGUAGAAGGUUUUCAUCCUUAGACCUUAGCACCAUAGUAAGACAUCAACACAAGUUCAUGUAGGCUUAUGUGUAGGAUCUGAGACAUCCAUUGUAAUAGUCAUUGAGGAGUUUUAAGCCAAGAAUUGGCAAUAUCCAGUGUGAUAAUAAGCACCAAUUUAUUGAGCUGUGUAUUAAUCCUCUACAUAUCUUAUGCAUUCGUUACAUAAUACAUGUUAAAACACUGUGAGGUUGGUGUCACUGCCCCAUUUUAUAGAUGAGAUACUAAGGCAUAGUAAGGUUAAGCCAUUAAGUGGCAGGGCCAGGAUUUGAAUCCAGGCAGCCUGACUCUGGCAUCUGUGUUCUUAUGCAUUCUGAUACACAACCAACCUUGUCACAAAGAGGAUUUAAUAAAUAGUUGAGACAUUUGGUAGCCACUUUUUUAUUUUCCCCUAGUCCAAGGGUUGCUAGCCUUGAUUCUCAUGGGAGUCACCUAGGAAGCUUUUAUAAAAGUGAAAUAAAUGAAAAAAUACACACACACACACACACACUCAUACAAAGUACAAAUAUUUACAGAGACCUAAUUUAUAAUAACCCCAAACUGGAAAUAAUCAAAAAGUCCUUUAUUGGGUGAAUCAAUAAAUAAUGGUGUGUCCAUACAAUGGAAUGCUAAGCAGCAAUAAAAAGGAGCAACUGAUACACACAACAAUUUGAAUGGCUCUCAAGGGGAUUAUUUUGAGUGGGGAAAAAAAAAAGCCAGUGUCAAAAGGUUACAUACUAUACAAUUUCAUUUCCAUAACAUUCUCAAAAUGAUAAAAUUGGAGAGAUGAACAGAUUAAUGAUUGCUAGGGGUUGGUGAUAGAAUGUGAAGUGUAGAUUUGACUAUAAAGGGGUAAUAGGAAGGAGUCUUGCAAUAAAGCAAUAUUUCUGUGUCUUUAUUUCAGCAGUGGUUACAAAAAUCUACACAUGUGAUAAAAUGACCUAGACUAUACACAUAUAUUAUAUUAAUGUCAAUUUCCUGAUUUUGAUAUUCAACUAUAGUUAGAUGUGAUCAUUGGGGGACGCUGGAUGAAGGGUACGUGGGACAUGUCUGUAUUUUAUAACUUCCUGUAUAUCUGUAAUUACUUUAAUGUAAGAGGUUGUUUUUGUGUUUGUGGUGCUGGGGAUCAAACCUGGGGUCUUUGCAUAUUAAACUUACACUCUACCAUGAAGGAAACCUCCCAGACUUUCAAUGUAACAGUUUUAAAAGAAAAGAAAAAAAAAGCAGUGCCUAGGCCUCACAGAUUGUGAUUUUCUUAGUAUAAACGAGGCCUGGAUUAUUGAUAUGUUUGAAAUCUCCUCAGUGAUUUUCACCUGCAGCCAGAUCUAAGCACCUCUGAGCUAGUGCCCAGAAUCCCUAGGGUUGGAGGCACUCUUGGAGAGCCCUAGCUGCCAACUGGCAGAGGACAGGUCCCUGAGAAGCCAG